AUGCUCACUCUGAGGGGAGUUGCCACUAGGCAGCAAUGCUAACGAGUGUGUUGAUCUUUCGUAUCAUCUCAUACCCGUAAGCCAUUCUGUCGAGCGGCUCUCUCCAUUCCGAGUGAGGAU
rnacentral:pre_miRNA from 1 species